GGGAAGGUGGCUCAGUGGUAGAGUGUUUGCCUUGCAUGCAUGAAGCCCAGGGUUUGAUCCCUCAGUACCA
rnacentral:tRNA from 1 species